rfam:Neospora caninum Liverpool complete genome, chromosome VIII
GCACCAGUGGCGCAAUGGAUAGCGCGUAUCCCUCCUAAGGAUAAGGUUGUGGGUUCGAGUCCCAUCUGGUGUG